GAAAAACAAUGUGCUGACCACUUGCCUA
rnacentral:piRNA from 1 species